rnacentral:rRNA from 1 species
UACGAAAGGUGCAAGCGUUACUCGGAAUUACUGGGCGUAAAGCGCACGUAGGCGGAUACUUAAGUCAGGGGUGAAAUCCCGGGGCUCAACCCCGGAACUGCCUUUGAUACUGGGUAUCUCGAGUCCGGAAGAGGUGAGUGGAAUUCCGAGUGUAGAGGUGAAAUUCGUAGAUAUUCGGAGGAACACCAGUGGCGAAGGCGGCUCACUGGUCCGGUACUGACGCUGAGGUGCGAAAGCGUGGGGAGCAAACAGG